rnacentral:lncRNA from 1 species
UGCCACAGCGCUUACUACUCUCUUAUGUGAUGCAAUAUCAAUACCUACAGAGAAGGUUAAGGCGCUAGUGAACUUCAUCCAAGCCGGCAGGUCCUCCGUACAUCAUGGACGACUGAGAACAGGCGCUCAUGACACUGUUAUCCCAGCUAGACAAGUAGCUUGGGUUAGAUGCCAGGUCCCGCCUAGUAUAGACCCAUCAGAUACUCUCCUUCUCUUUGAACCUGAUGAAACUAAUGCACACCUGACAGAGUUACAGAUUGAAGAAGGCCUGUUAGAAAUAAAGAAUGCCAGGAGACCUUAUGUCACAAUACCAGUGAAAAAUAACAUGAAACAUUCUGUCACUCUAUCAAGGAAGACAGCCCUGGGUAGUGUCCAGACUGUGACAAAGGUGAUAGAGACAGAUUCACAAGAGAGGCCUAAGCCAAGAACAGUGGUUAGUGUGGCACCAACAUCAGCUGCUAAAUCUAGUCCAGCCUUGUGGCAGCCUCCUGUGGACCUUAGCCACCUUAGCAGAGAGGAACAAGAGAAAGUCAAAAAGAUGCUAUGGGAAGAAUCAGUUGCUUUUGCUGAAGAUAGUCAUGAUAUCGGAUGUAUUCCUAGCUUGCAAAUGUCAAUCACACUUAAAGACGACAUCCCGGUGCAGAGAGCGUACUCUUCCGUCCCUAAACCAUUAUUUCAAGAGGUGAAGGAGUAUAUACAAGAUCUGUUGAUGAAAGGCUGGAUAGUGAAAUCAAAAUCCCCUUAUUCCUCUCCAGUAGUUUGUGUCCGUAAGAAAGAUGGCACACUCCGCCUCUGCAUAGAUUAUCGUCUGUUGAAUCAGAAGACCAUCCCUGAUCGACAUCCGCUACCUAGGAUACAAGACCUGACAGACACGCUUGGUGGCUAUUCCUGGUUCAGCAUCCUUGACCAAGGCAAGGCCUAUCAUCAAGGCUUCAUAGCCAAGGACUCCAGACAUGCCACUGCUUUCAUUACUCCCUGGGGGCUGUAUGAAUGGAUAAGGAUCCCCUUUGGCCUUUCUAACGCCCCAGCAGCCUUCCAGCGGAGUAUGGAGGAG